GAGGUUUUUGUCCUGGCGCAAGCUGGGAGAUACCCGACCUAUUGUCAUGUGCACGUUGAGGAGGAACGGAGGAGGGUGGCGCUUGUGGCUUGCGACGGAUCGACCCGAGAGGGGGGAUCCGGAACGGCCCGCGCUGCCGCCGCCGCCUGGACGAACCGUAACUUCGGCGGAAGAGGCAGACGUGAUCUGCCCGCCGCCGGCCGUAACCUAUAACGCUCUGCAACGAGAAUCUGAAGCCUGAUGUACCCAACAAAAUGAAAAGCAAAACUUUCAACAACGGAUCUCUUGGCUCU
rnacentral:misc_RNA from 1 species